rnacentral:rRNA from 1 species
AAUAGAUACCCAGGUAGUCCAUGCCGUAAACGUUGGGCACUAGGUGUGGGGGACAUUCCACGUUUUCCGCGCCGUAGCUAACGCAUUAAGUGCCCCGCCUGGGGAGUACGGCCGCAAGGCUAAAACUCAAAGGAAUUGACGGGGGCCCGCACAAGCGGCGGAGCAUGCGGAUUAAUUCGAUGCAACGCGAAGAACCUUACCAAGGCUUGACAUGUUCCAGACCGGGCUAGAGAUAGUCCUUCCCUUCGGGGCUGGUUCACAGGUGGUGCAUGGUUGUCGUCAGCUCGUGUCGUGAGAUGUUGGGUUAAGUCCCGCAACGAGCGCAACCCUCGUUCCAUGUUGCCAGCACGUAGUGGUGGGGACUCAUGGGAGACUGCCGGGGUCAACUCGGAGGAAGGUGGGGAUGACGUCAAAUCAUCAUGCCCCUUAUGUCUUGGGCUUCACGCAUGCUACAAUGGCCGGUACAAUGGGUUGCGAUACUGUGAGGUGGAGCUAAUCCCUAAAAGCCGGUCUCAGUUCGGAUUGGGU